GCAGAAAUAUGAUUGUCCCUUCAGUGGGACAUCAUUUGUGGUCUUCUCUCUCUUUUUGAUCUGUGCAAUGGCUGGAGAUGUAGUCUACGCUGACAUCAAAACUGUUCGGACUUCCCCGUUAGAACUCGCGUUUCCACUUCAGAGAUCUGUUUCUUUCAACUUUUCUACUGUCCAUAAAUCAUGUCCUGCCAAAGACUGGAAGGUGCAUAAGGGAAAAUGUUACUGGAUUGCUGAAACUAAGAAAUCUUGGAACAAAAGUCAAAAUGACUGUGCCAUAAACAAUUCAUAUCUCAUGGUGAUUCAAGACAUUACUGCUAUGGCCCCAUCACCAGAGUGGCAGAGCAGCAGAGCAGCGGAAUAGCAGAGUGACAGAGAAAGAAAGAAAAGAAGAAGCAGCCGGAUGUCAGAGAGAAGCAGUUUGAGCUCAGAGGGACAGCUUGAUGGUGGGACCUCGGAGAAGAGUUUGUCUGAACUCCAGGGGAAUACCACCUUCCCAUUCCAUCCACUUUCCAGCUCCCUAUCCCGCUGAGAGCCACUUCCAUCCCUCAAUAAAAUCCUCCACAUUCACUACCCUUCAA
ensembl:lncRNA CLECL1P C-type lectin like 1, pseudogene